AUUGAACGCUGGCGGCAGGCUUAACACAUGCCAGUCGAGCGGUAGCACAGGGGAGCUUGCUCCCUGGGUGACGAGCGGCGGACGGGUGAGUAAUGUCUGGGAAACUGCCUGAUGGAGGGGGAUAACUACUGGAAACGGUAGCUAAUACCGCAUAACGUCGCAAGACCAAAGAGGGGGACCUUCGGGCCUCUUGCCGUCAGAUGUGCCCAGAUGGGAUUAGCUAGUAGGUGGGGUAAUGGCUCACCUAGGCGACGAUCCCUAGCUGGUCUGAGAGGAUGACCAGCCACACUGGAACUGAGACACGGUCCAGACUCCUACGGGAGGCAGCAGUGGGGAAUAUUGCACAAUGGGCGCAAGCCUGAUGCAGCCAUGCCGCGUGUGUGAAGAAGGCCUUCGGGUUGUAAAGCACUUUCAGCGAGGAGGAAGGUGGUGAACUUAAUACGUUCAUCAAUUGACGUUACUCGCAGAAGAAGCACCGGCUAACUCCGUG
rnacentral:rRNA from 1 species